GACGAACGCUGGCGGCGUGCUUAACACAUGCAAGUCGAACGGUGAAGCGCCUUCCUUUUUGGUUGGUGUGGAUGAGUGGCGAACGGGUGAGUAACACGUGCGUAACCUGCCCCCUUCUUCUGGAUAACCGCAUGAAAGUGUGUCUAAUACGGGAUAUUCUGGGUCUGUCGCAUGAUGGGUCUGGGAAAGAUAUUGUUUCGGUGGGGGCUGGGCUGGCGGCGUAUCAGCUUGUUGGUGUGUUGAUGGCCUACCAAGGCGGUGGCGGGUAGCCGGCCUGAGAGGGUGGACGGCCUGAGUGGGACUGAGACACGGCCGAGACUCAGACGGGAGGCAGCAGUGUGGAAUAUGGCACAAUGGGGGAAAGCGUGAUGCAGCGACGCCGCGUGAGGGAUGAAGGCCUGCGGGUUGUGAACCUCUUUCGCUAGUGAAGCAGGCCUGCCUCGUUUGUGGGUGGGUUGACGGUAGCUGGAUAAGAAGCGCCGGCUAACUACGUG
rnacentral:rRNA from 1 species